rnacentral:rRNA from 1 species
GCUGGCGGCGUGCUUAACACAUGCAAGUCGAACGAAGCACCAUGAUUUCUUCGGAUUGAGUGGUGACUGAGUGGCGGACGGGUGAGUAACGCGUGGGUAACCUGCCUCAUACAGGGGGAUAACAGUUAGAAAUGACUGCUAAUACCGCAUAAGCGCACAAUACCGCAUGGUAUAGUGUGAAAAACUCUGGUGGUAUGAGAUGGACCCGCGUCUGAUUAGCUAGUUGGUGGGGUAACGGCCUACCAAGGCAACGAUCAGUAGCCGGCCUGAGAGGGUGACCGGCCACAUUGGGACUGAGACACGGCCCAAACUCCUACGGGAGGCAGCAGUGGGGAAUAUUGCACAGUGGGCGAAAGCCUGAUGCAGCGACGCCGCGUGAGCGAAGAAGUAUUUCGGUAUGUAAAGCUCUAUCAGCAGGGAAGAAAAUGACGGUACCUGACUAAGAGGCACCGGCUAAAUACGUGCCAGCAGCCGCGGUAAUACGUAUGGUGCAAGCGUUAUCCGGAUUUACUGGGUGUAAAGGGAGCGUAGACGGCUGUGCAAGUCUGAUGUGAAAACCCGGGGCUCAACCCCGGGACUGCAUUGGAAACUGUGCAGCUAGAGUGCCGGAGAGGUAAGCGGAAUUCCUAGUGUAGCGGUGAAAUGCGUAGAUAUUAGGAGGAACACCAGUGGCGAAGGCGGCUUACUGGACGGUAACUGACGUUGAGGCUCGAAAGCGUGGGGAGCAAACAGGAUUAGAUACCCUGGUAG